GUGGAAUGAUGCAACUUAGCCAAAUCAGACAUUGAUGUGCUCCAUAAGGCAUAUUAUUCUAAGCUUGGUUGUUUAUGUUGAGGCAUAUUGUUCGUCUUCUCUAUAAACUUUAUCAAGCUUCAGAUUAGACACCUUUUGUAGAAGCGCAUCUCUCUGAUGAUAAAUACAGAGAAUGGGUUGUUUGCUGACCAAA